AUGAUAAGAGCAAUGGAAAUCUCUCUUAUAUUGGGCCAGAUGGGCAAAAUGCGCUACAUGCUGCGAUUUUUCGAGCCUCAGAACAGUGACCGCAUGGUAUACGAAGCACUCUACUUGGUUGGCGCUAAACAUAGUUGUGUUCGCUUCGAUCAGUUUGUAGAAAAGUAUAGUCCCUGGUUAAAACCAGAGGAUGAGGUCAAAGAAGCAGAGAAGAUGAAAGAUUCUAGCCAAAUGCUAGGCGUUGGUUCAGUUUUAAUAGCCACCAUUGCAUUUGGUGCAACCUUUGCUGUUCCUGGAGGGUUCAUAGCAGACGAUCGUACCAACAGAGGCACACCAACACUUGCUGGGAGGUAUACCUUUGAUGCAUUCAUGAUGGCGAAUGCAAUAGCUUUUAUUUGCUCCUUGAUAUCUACCAUGAGUCUCAUGUACUCUCGAAAUUCCUUGGUUAACUUGCUGACCGCCAAUUCAACUUCGCAAUAG
rnacentral:rRNA from 1 species